rnacentral:lncRNA from 1 species
AUGUGGCAGUGCAAGCGUUGUUCCAUCAGGGAGAGUAGUAGGUACAAAUUAUUGAAACACUGUAGAUUACAUCACCAUUAUGGACCCAGCCAGCGUUAUCUUUGUAUAUAUGUAAAUUGUCCAUGCACAUUUAAGACUUGGUGUGGACUAAAAACACAUGUUUACAAAUGUCAUUCUUCUCAUUUUAAACAGACAGCUGUCAGUUCAGUCACUUUUAGGUGCGAGUUAUGUGACUGCAGUGACCUUACCACAGAGAGAGAUUAUUUUGGACAUAUUGGAUCACAUUUACGAAAUAAUGAGACAGUAACUUGUGUAUUUUCAGGCUGCUCUUUCAAGACAAAUAUCUUUGGUACAUUUUAUUCACACAAAAAGAGGAAGCAUCAUUCAGAUUCACUUAAAGAUUUCAAGGUGGGUUUAGUGGUGUGUUUUGACUCAGCACAACAUUCUGAUGACCUUGAAGGUGUAGGUGCUAGUUGCUCUGAUUUUUUAGAUCCUGAAGUUGGAACUGAGUUGGUGUCAGGAAGUAAUCAUUCCACUGAAAAUUUGACAGAUCUUGUUGAACAGAAAAUAGCUGGGAUAUUGUUAAAAUUGGAACAUAUAUUUCAAAUUCCAGCUACAGCAGUAGAUGGCUUGGUGGAGGAGUUGAGUUUUUUGUUAAGUUCUGCUUGUACUUCAAUCACAAAACGAACAGUUGAAGAGGUAUUCAAGAGCCAUAACCUUCAUAUUGGUCAGGCUGUUGUUGAGGAGCUUGCCAAUACAGUGUGCAUUUCUAACCCUGUAUCAAAAAUUUUAGCUAAGUGUGGUCCUCUUGGAACUUCAUUUAAAAGAAAACAAUACUAUAAGCAUAACUUUAGGGUCGUAGAGCCUGUUGAGUACAUUUUAUCUGUUGAUCAACGAAAGUCAUUUCAGUACAUUCCUUUAUUAAAGUUAUUGCAAGAAUUAUUGAGUCAUAAUCACAUACUUGAUAGAGUGAUUGAGCAACAUAUAGGACAAGAAAAAAGUGAGAAUUUGGCUAAUGGUCUGAGUGUUUACAGGUCUUUCCGAGAUGGCAAGCACUUUAGAACCAAUAGCUUUUUAGCUGUUGACGUGUUGAGAAUCUCCAUUACACUUUACAUUGAUGAUUUUGAGGUUUGCAAUCCUCUUGGAACCUCACGCAAAAAACACAAGCUUUGUGGUAUUUAUUGGGUCUUGGAUAAUUUGCCUCCAGGCUCUCAUUCAGCACUCUCCUCCAUUUACCUAGCUGUUCUUUGUAAAAGUGACGAUUUAAAGACAUUUGGGUUUGAAAAGGUGUUGGAACCCCUGUUAAAAGAUCUUAUGAUCUUGGAGCAACACGGUGUGUUUAUUGCUCAGUUGAAUGAGUUUGUUAAAGGCACUGUAAAUUGUGUAAUAGCUGAUAACCUAGCUGCUCACGGGCUUGCAGGUUUUGUUGAAAAUUUUUCUGGGGAACACAUAUGUAGAUUCUGUGUCGCAAAGAAAAAUGAAAUUCAGUUUUUGACUGCAGACGUUUUUGAGUGUAGAACACGUGAACUCCAUUUGGCUCACUUAAAAUCUGCAUUGGAAACCUCAAGCUUGUGUUGUGGGGUUAAACGUGACUGUGUUUUGACUAAAAGUCUCUCUCAUUUUGAUGUUAUUGCAGGCUUUCCCCCAGAUAUAGUACACGAUUUUUUUGAGGGCAUUAUACCUGUAGAACUAGCAGAAUGCUUGGCUGUUUUGAUCUCCAAAAAGUAUUUCACCUUAGAAAAACUUAACAGUUCAAUCCAAAAUUUUGACUACAAAUGGGGAGAUAAGACAAAUCGUCCUCACGUCAUACCACAUACCUACUCAAAGAAAAAACAUAUAGGGGGGAAUGCACACGAAAAUUGGGCUCUGCUUCGCUUGUUGCCUUUUAUUAUUGGUCCCCUUGUUCCUGAAGAUGAACAGGCCUGGCAUGUUCUUUUGGAUCUCAAGGAUAUAGUGGAACUUGUUGUUGCCCCUAUCCACUGUGAUGAGUCAAUAUCAUAUCUUGAGUUCAAAAUCAGAGAGCAUCGGCAGAGAUACAAAGAACUUUUUCCAAACAGCCGUAUUCUUCCUAAACACCAUUUUGUAGAGCACUAUCCUGUCAUGAUACGUCUCUUUGGACCUCUCGUUCAUAAGUGGACAAUGAGGUUUGAGGCCAAGCAUAGUUUUUUUUAA